GAGGGGGCCAUGUCGUAUCAGCUAGUUGGUNGAGGUAACGGCUCACCAAGGCAAUGACGCGUAGCCGGUCUGAGAGGAUGGUCGGCCACACUGGGACUGAGACACUGCCCAGACUCCUACGGGAGGCUGCAGUCGAGAAUCUUUGUCAAUGGGCGCAAGCCUGAACGAGCGACGCCGCGUGUGGGAUGAAGGCCCUUGGGUUGUAAACCACUGUCAGGGGGUACGAAUAAGCGUGUAACCCACGCGAUGACUUAAACCCCGAAAGGAAGUGACGGCUAACUACGUGCCAGCAGCUGCGGUAAUACGUAGGUCACGAACGUUAUUCGGAAUCACUGGCUUAAAGGCGCGUAGGCGGCUUAACAAGUCAUGGUUGAAAUCCGACGGCUCACCCGUCGAACUGGC
rnacentral:rRNA from 1 species